UACAGAGGGUGCAAGCGUUGUUCGGAAUUAUUGGGCGUAAAGCGCGUGUAGGCGGCUUUGCAAGUCGGGUGUGAAAUCCCUCGGCCCAACCGAGGAACUGCGCCCGAGACUGCUUCUCUUGAGUCCCGGAGAGGAAGAUGGAAUUCCCGGUGUAGCGGUGAAAUGUGUAGAGAUCGGGAGGAACACCGGUGGCGAAGGCGGCAUCCUGGACCGACAUUGACGCUGAACGGCGAAAGCUAGGGGAGCAAACGGG
rnacentral:rRNA from 1 species